GUUAAAAAGCUCGUAGUUGGAUUUCUGCGAGGGUGCCAAUGUCCGCCGACGCGCGUGCGCAGCGGCGCCCUCGCAUCCUUCUGUUACCACCUCUCGGCAUUCACUUGCCGGUGGUCGGCUCAGAGAAUUUACCUUGAGAAAAUUAGAGUGUUUCAGGCAGGCUAGGCCGGAAUACAUUAGCAUGGAAUAAUGGAAUAGGACUACGGUCUCGUUGUUGGUUUGAGGGACUGCAGUAAUGAUUAAUAGGGAUAGUUGGGGGCAUUAGUAUUUAAUUGUCAGAGGUGAAAUUCUCGGAUUUGUUAAAGACUAACUUAUGCGAAAGCAUUUGCCAAGGAUGUUUUCAUUAAUCAAGAACGAAAGUUAGGGGAUCAAAGACGAUCAGAUACCGUC
rnacentral:rRNA from 1 species